rnacentral:tRNA from 1 species
GCCCGCGUGGCGGAAUCGGUAGACGCUACGGACUUAAAAUCCGUUUUCCUUCGGAAGUGUGGGUUCGAGUCCCACCGCGGGUACCA